rnacentral:rRNA from 1 species
UACGUAGGGGGCGAGCGUUGUCCGGAGUUACUGGGCGUAAAGGGCACGCAGGCGGUCCUAUCAGUUUCUGGUGACAGGUCAGAGCUCAACUCUGACAGGCCUGGAAAGACGGUAGGACUUGAGUACUUCAGAGGGACGCGGAAUUCCAGGUGGAGCGGUGAAAUGCGUAGAGAUCUGGAAGAACACCAAAGGCGAAGGCAGCGUUCUGGGAAGUUACUGACGCUCAGGUGCGAAAGCCAGGGGAG